GUGGGGAAUAUUGGACAAUGGGCGGAAGCCUGAUCCAGCCAUGCCGCGUGUGUGAAGAAGGCCUUUUGGUUGUAAAGCACUUUAAGCGAGGAGGAGGCUCCUUUAGUUAAUACCUAAAGAGAGUGGACGUUACUCGCAGAAUAAGCACCGGCUAACUCUGUGCCAGCAGCCGCGGUAAUACAGAGGGUGCGAGCGUUAAUCGGAUUUACUGGGCGUAAAGCGUGCGUAGGCGGCUUUUUAAGUCGGAUGUGAAAUCCCUGAGCUUAACUUAGGAAUUGCAUUCGAUACUGGAAAGCUAGAGUAUGGGAGAGGAUGGUAGAAUUCCAGGUGUAGCGGUGAAAUGCGUAGAGAUCUGGAGGAAUACCGAUGGCGAAGGCAGCCAUCUGGCCUAAUACUGACGCUGAGGUACGAAAGCAUGGGGAGCAAACAGGAUUAGAUACCCGAGUAGUCC
rnacentral:rRNA from 1 species